GAUGAACGCUGGCGGCGUGCCUAACACAUGCAAGUCGAACGAACGGACAUGAAGCUUUCUUUCUUGCUGUUAGCGGGGGGCGGGCGAGUGAAACGUGCAUAACACACCUCUUUUACUGGGGUAACAUCGUGGGAAAGGAUCUAAUACCGCCUAAUACUUCGAACCGCAGGAUUCAGGAGAGAUAGACGGUCUUCCCGACACUUAUAGCUGCAUCCGGGUUGCAUUAGCUAGUUGGUAAGGUAACGGCCAACCAAGGCAACGAUGCAUAGCCGACCUGAGAGGGGGAUCGGCCACACUGGAACUGAGACACGGUCCAGACUCCUACGGGAGGCAGCAGUAGGGAAUAUUCGGAAAUGGGCGAAAGCCUGACGAAGCAACCCCGCGUGAGUGAUGAAGGCCUUCGGAUCGUAAAGCCCUUUUAUUGGGAAAGAACAUCUGUUUGCGAAUAGGGAGACGUCUUGACGGUACCUAAAGAGAAAGCCACGGCUAACUACGUG
rnacentral:rRNA from 1 species